rnacentral:lncRNA from 1 species
GUCAGGACUGGGAUAUCAUCUGGGACACAUUACCCCACAGUCAGAUACCUACAGCCGCUGAGAGCCGGUAUUCCAACGCCAUGAGACGCCUUCUGUCGUGAGCAGUUGACAAGAAAGACCCAGCACUUACUGCAACCGGAAGGAGCGGUUCCUCCCUCGCUCGCGCAGCCGCUCUUCCCCGCCACUCCCUCGGUGCCCGCCAGCACAUUCCCAGCAAGCCCUGAGUAUAUUUGCAUAUCAACUCACUACAUUUUUUUCUUCUAACUAAAAAAUCGAAAGGACAAAUUCCAGAUUCUCCUUGUGAAGUCUUCC